AGAGCGAACGCUGGCGGCAGGCCUAAAACAUGCAAGUCGAACGAGCCCUUCGGGGUUAGUGGCGGACGGGUGAGUAACACGUGGGAACGUGCCUUUUGGUUCGGAACAACUCAGGGAAACUUGAGCUAAUACCGAAUGUGCCCUUCGGGGGAAAGAUUUAUCGCCAUUAGAGCGGCCCGCGUCUGAUUAGCUAGUUGGUGAGGUAAAGGCUCACCAAGGCUUCGAUCAGUAGCUGGUCUGAGAGGAUGAUCAGCCACACUGGGACUGAGACACGGCCCAGACUCCUACGGGAGGCAGCAGUUAGGAAUCUGCGCAAUGGGCGAAAGCCUGACGCAGCCAUGCCGCGUGAAUGAUGAAGGUCUUAGGAUUGUAAAUUCUUUCAGCGGGGACGAUAAUGACGGUACCCGCAGAAGAAGCUCCGGCUAACUUCGUGCCAGCAGCCGC
rnacentral:rRNA from 1 species